GCUUUCAUAGUCUAGUGGUUAUGAUGCAUCCUUUACAUCUGGUUUCGGUUCGUUUUAUCGUGCUGGAUCAACGAUUAGGUGAACGGAUGAGGUCCUGAGUUCGACCCUCAGUGAAAGCU